AGUUUUGUCAGUGUGUCCAUGUGAGCCUGUGAGGAAAAGGGCUGCUCAGCCUGGGAACGUGUGUCGGUGACUGUGUGUCUUUCUGCCCAGCUGCCCAAAGAAUAGGCUGUGUCUCCUCCCUCAGACAGAAGAUCCCCAGACUCCGAGCUUUUUCUUCCCCAUAAGACUGGAGCUCCCCAAGGACUCGGUUUUGUCUCCCUCUCCAAUCUUUCCAAGGACAAGAACAAGGGCACUGUUUCCUCUGAGUCUUCCAAAUUGCCCAAGUCAGAAUAGACACUAAGAGUGGAGAAGACCCAGAGCCCAGGAGAAGCAAUUCAAUUGGUGGUAGAGUGGAAGAGGUAUUAGGGGCUGGUAUUAAAGUGGCCCGAAGUCAGAAAACCUGGGAUCGAAACCUGGUUCUGACACUAGCUCUGUGACCUUGGGCUAAUCACUUCCACUUACCAUCCCCACCCCGUGCGUGAGUUUCCUGUGUCAAGAAAAGGGGUCCGCCUGUGUGGUCUCCAAGUUCCUCUAUGAGUCUUUAACAGACAAAGAAAGGGACCUACCUCCA